rnacentral:lncRNA from 1 species
UUGACCUGGGAAUUCCCAGUUUCCAGAACUGUGAGAAAUAAAUUUUUUAUGAUUUACCCAGUCUAAGAUAUUUUGUGACAGCAGCAGGAAUGGACUAACAUACUGGGUCUAGCAAAGAGUUCUCAAGUGCACUGCUUCUCUCCCACCACUGCCUGUUCUCACUUUCUUUCGAAGACGUGAGUAACAGUUUCCACAUCUGUUUGGUCCCUCAAAAGGCAAAGAUGAAGUACAGAAGAAAUAUAUGGAUCACAGGCAAGAUCCAAAGCUGGCUGCAGUCUCUGAGGCCUGAGCCUUCCGUGAAGGCUCUUGCCCCUCCUUGUUCCAUACAUCUUUCUUCUUCAUAGCAAGACACUCCCAUUAAGCCCAAAAGCCCAGAGUGCAACUCAGAUAUACAAUAUAUUACCUGUUGCAUCACUUUCUUUGAUAUAGUUUGACUCAGUGUCCC